GAGUUUGAUCGUGGCUCAGAACGAACGCUAUCGGUAUGCUUAACACGUGCAAGUCGAACGGACUAAUUGGGGCUUGCUCCAAUUAGUUAGUGGCAGACGGGUGAGUAACACGUGGGAAUCUACCCAUCAGUACGGAAUAACUUUUAGAAAUAAAAGCUAAUACCGUAUAUUCUCUACGGAAGAAAGAUUUAUCGCUGAUGGAUGAGCCCGCGUCAGAUUAGGUCGUUGGUGAGGUAACGGCUCACCAAGCCGACGAUCUGUAGCUGGUCUGAGAGGAUGAUCAGCCACACUGGGACUGAGACACGGCCCAGACUCCUACGGGAGGCAGCAGUGGGGAAUAUUGGACAAUGGGCGAAGGCCUGAUCCAGCAAUACCGAGUGAGUGAUGAAGGCCUUAGGGUUGUAAGCUCUUUAGCAAGGAAGAUAAUGACGUUACUUGCAGAAAAGCCCGGCUAACUCCGUGCCAACCGCCGC
rnacentral:rRNA from 1 species